rnacentral:rRNA from 1 species
UUCCGGUUGAUCCUGCCAGACCUGACUGCUAUCGGAUUGAUACUAAGCCAUGCGAGUCUUUGUAGUAAUACAAGGCAGACGGCUCAGUAACACGUAGUCAACCUACCCUAUGGACGAGAAUAAUCUCGGGAAACUGAGCAUAAUUCUUGAUAGAUCAUAAUGCCUGGAAUGGUUUAUGGUUAAAAUGAUUCGUCGCCAUAGGAUGGGACUGCGGCCUAUCAGCUUGUUGGUGAGGUAAUGGCCCACCAAGGCGAUUACAGGUACGGGCUCUGAGAGGAGAAGCCCGGAGAUGGGUACUGAGACACGGACCCAGGCCCUAUGGGGCGCAGCAGGCGAGAAAACUUUGCAAUGUGCGAAAGCACGACAAGGUUAAUCCGAGUGAUUUCUGCUAAAGAAAUCUUUUGCCAGUCGUAAAACCGCUGGUGAAUAAGGGGUGGGCAAGUUCUGGUGCCAGCAGCCGCGGUAAU